GACCUGUUUUUUGGGGAGGACAAUAUCAGGAGAUGCUUUUCAUUUUCUUAUGGGUGAUAUUUAUACAACAUAAUACACCUGAAUUUCAAGGAAAGAGAACCUCUGAGGAAAGUCAGAGCUAAGUUGAUUGACCUAGUCCUGUGGAAGUUCCUAGAAAUUUCUUCAGAAAACUGGUUCUCUGAGCCACUCAAAAUUCAGUGUUGCAGCUGCCCUCCUGGAUGUUAUCCUUCUCCACAGCUCCCACCUGCCCUCAUUCUGAUUUAGGACCUAAGAAGACCACAGAGACUCUUAGGACAGGUAACAAGACCAAAUCCCCACAGCAACCUUGAGCAGAAGAGAAGAUAGAGGUUGGCAUUCAUUCCCCAUGCUUUACAUAUGGAAAAGCCAAGGCACUGGAGACAAAACUGAGGAUCCCAGAGUUGCAUUAAGGUUGGAGAAACAGACCUAACAGGGUUCAACCAGUUGCCUGGAUCUGCUACAACAGGUAACUAAAAGCUGCUCACGGGGAGAUGCUCACAAAGAAUAGAUUGGUACACCAAACAAGGAAAGUUAUUUCUUUGUGCUCGAUUGGAAGAUGAUUUGGGGGAGUUGUCUUUCCUGGGUGAACAAAGGCAAAUUGACAUGACUUUGGUUUCUGGCAUGGUGGGGUUUUAUGAUGUUUGUUAGGGAUGGGCAAAGGCAGGCUUCUGCUGGGGUGAGGGUGGAGCUUGCAUAAUAGUUGAGUAGUCUAGGACAGUACCUUUUAGGUCCUGUCCAUUCAUUUCCAACUUAAUCUAUUCUUAGCCCCUAACAUGGGGGUGCUGGCCAUGUACAGGGUAUGUGUAUGUGUGUGGUGAGGGGGGUGGGGAGCAGUUAUCUCUCACAGUUUGACCAUCUGCCACCCUCAGGGGCUGCCAUCAAUAAAUAUCACUCCAGACCUUUGGCUCCAGAACACUCCACCAUGUUCUGCCAGCUGUGGCAAAGAAGGUAUAGGGAGUAAGAUAGCACAGCUCGUUCCCAGGAGGAGGAGUCGGGGAGAAGCAGAUGGUGCUGGGAAGAGUCAAGUAAGGCAGACAGAACUAUGCAGGAGGAUAAAGAAAGCUACAGGCAUCAAGGAAGUGUUCCAUCUGCUGGCAUUUGGCUGAAAUCACAAGCACAAAUGAAAAAAUGAAGAAUUCUUUCCAGAUCAAUUUAAGGCGUCCCACCAAAUGGAAACAGAUGAGGCCCUUAUGAAGUAUCACAUGGGAUAAAUGUAUACCUUUCAUGGCCUUAAAAUGAUGGAACAAAUCAUUUUUACCAGUCAUCGAUUAA